GUCCCUGUAGCGCAAUGCAUAGCGCGUUGGACUUCUAAUCCAAAGAUCAGGAUUUCGAAUUCCACUUGGGAUG